rnacentral:rRNA from 1 species
CCUACGGUGGGCAGCAGUGGGGAAUAUUGCGCAAUGGGCGAAAGCCUGACGCAGCGACGCCGCGUGAGGGAUGAAGGUCUUCGGAUCGUAAACCUCUGUCAGCAGGGCAGAACGGUCACUGUGCUAAUCAGCAGUGAAUUGACGGUACCUGCAAAGGACACACCGGCGAACUCCGUGCCAGCAGCCGCGGUAAUACGGAGGGUGCGAGCGUUAAUCGGAUUUACUGGGCGUAAAGCGCUCGUAGUCGGUAUGUCAAGUCAAGGGUGAAAUCCCCGCGCUCAACGUGGGAACUGCCUUUGAAACUGGCAAACUGGAGUGUGUGAGAGGAUAGUGGAAGUCCAGGGGUAGGAGUGAAAUGCGUAGAUAUCUGGAGGAACAUCAGUGGCGAAGGCGACUAUCUGGCACAUAACUGACGCUGAGGAGCGAAAGCGUGGGUAGCAAACAGGAUUAGAUACCCCAGUAGUC